rnacentral:rRNA from 1 species
ACGAACGCUGGCGGCGUGCUUAACACCUGCAAGUCGAACGGAAAGGCCCUGCUUUUGUGGGGUGCUCGAGUGGCGAACGGGUGAGUAACACGUGAGUAACCUGCCCUUGACUUUGGGAUAACUUCAGGAAACUGGGGCUAAUACCGGAUAGGAGCUCCUGCUGCAUGGUGGGGGUUGGAAAGUUUCGGCGGUUGGGGAUGGACUCGCGGCUUAUCAGCUUGUUGGUGGGGUAGUGGCUUACCAAGGCUUUUACGGGUAGCCGGCCUGAGAGGGUGACCGGCCACAUUGGGACUGAGAUACGGCCCAGACUCCUACGGGAGGCAGCAGUGGGGAAUAUUGCACAAUGGGCGGAAGCCUGAUGCAGCAACGCCGCGUGCGGGAUGACGGCCUUCGGGUUGUAAACCGCUUUCGCCUGUGACGAAGCGUGAGUGACGGUAAUGGGUAAAGAAGCACCGGCUAACUACGUG